rnacentral:rRNA from 1 species
GAUGAACGCUGGCGGCGUGCUUAACACAUGCAAGUCGAACGGAAAGGCCCUGCUUUUGUGGGGUGCUCGAGUGGCGAACGGGUGAGUAACACGUGAGUAACCUGCCCUUGACUUUGGGAUAACUUCAGGAAACUGGGGCUAAUACCGGAUAGGAGAUCCUGCUGCAUGGUGGGGGUUGGAAAGUUUCGGCGGUUGGGGAUGGACUAGCGGCUUAUCAGCUUGUUGGUGGGGUAGUGGCUUACCAAGGCUUUGACGGGUAGCCGGCCUGAGAGGGUGACCGGCCACCUUGCGACUGAGAUACGGCCCAGACUCGUACGGGAGGCAGCAGGGGGGAGUAUUGCACAGUGGGCGGGAGCCUGAUGCGGCAACGCCGCGUGCGGGAUGACGGCCUACGGGUUGUGAACCGCUUUCGCCUGUGACGAAGCGUGAGUGACGGUAAUGGGUAAAGAAGCACCGGCUAACUACGUG